GGACCUGCUCUAUCCUGGUAAAAGUGUAUAAAAAGACAGGCUCCACAGUAUUAAACAACAAGGCAUAUCCUGAGGGUAUCUUAUUACCAUUCUUCAUUCCUGACAGGAGCUUGCAUCAGUAGCUAAUUCUGGGAACUAGAAAGUAGCAAUGAUAAUCAUGCAGUAGAUACAAAUUAUUGUAGGAAGCUAUGUGGGACACGCUAUUAUUAAGUGUCUUCACACUGUGAAAUAAUCUCACUCCAUAGAGCCAUUUUGUAACUCCAGUUAAGUGGUAGUUCAGAGGGACAAACCUUAAUAGGGACAAAAGUACAAUAUUAAGAAUAUUUAAUUUCUUCCAAGUACAAGCACAUUGUUUAAAAAAAACAUCUGGCUUGUAUCAAAUUUCUGUGUAAUAUUUGUGUAAUUAAAGCCAGGGGAAUCAUCUGGAAAAGGUUUAAACAUUUAAAGCCAUUAGACUACUGGUGUCAACAGAUCAAGAUUCAGUUGAUUAGUAAGUUAUAUUGACCUCUAGUCUGGAUGUAGGGUACACAAAGGGUAUUGGAAAUAGUAGCAUGUCAAGCUUACAACACCAUAAGUAGGUACUUCCUCCAGCUUAAAUAUAGUUACUUCAUGGUAAGGCUUCAGACUCAAUUCCAAAAUGAUGUAAAAGCAAUACUUGUAUAUAACUUUUUAAAAUAGUUGCAAUUUUGCCAUUGUCUAUUACUUAUCUCAAUUCAUUUCAAGUUGAUACUGUUUAUGAGUAUCAUGCAAUUUUGAACAUGUAAGUUACCAGUGUUCAAAAACGGUUAAACAAUUUAGAAAUGGUAAGAACUUAAGAGUUAAAAAGACUGUUCUAAAUAUGCUCUUAAAUAAGGAAACAUUUUAUAUGUGAACGAUAAAUUAAAACUUCUACCAGUAUUCCACAAG